rnacentral:rRNA from 1 species
GACGUAGGGCGCGAGCGUUGUCCGGAUUUAUUGGGCGUAAAGAGCUCGUAGGCGGCUUGUCGCGUCGUUCGUGAAAACCUGCAGCUCAACUGCAGGCUUGCGGUCGAUACGGGCAGGCUAGAGUUCGGUAGGGGAGACUGGAAUUCCUGGUGUAGCGGUGAAAUGCGCAGAUAUCAGGAGGAACACCAACGGCGAAGGCAGCCCGCUGGGACGGUACUGACGCUAAGGCGCGAAAGCGUGGGGAGCAAACAGG